rnacentral:rRNA from 1 species
AUUGAACGCUGGCGGCAGGCCUAACACAUGCAAGUCGAACGAGUGGCGGACGGGUGAGUAAUGUCUGGGAAACUGCCCGAUGGAGGGGGAUAACUACUGGAACCGGUAGCUAAUACCGCAUACCAUCGGAUGUGCCCCGAUGUGAUUAGCUAGUAGGUGGGGGAAAGGCUCACCAAGGCGACGAUCCCUAGCUGGUCUGAGAGGAUGACCAGCCACACGGGACCUGUGCAACGGGCCAGACUCCGACGGGAGGCAGCAGUGGGGAAUAUUGCACAAUGGGCGCAAGCCGGAUGCAGCCAUGCCGGGUGGAUGAAGAAGGCCUUCGGGUUGUAAAGUACGUUCAGCGGGGAGGCGUUACCCGCAGAAGAAGCACCGGCUAACUCCGUGCCAGCAGCCGCGGUAAUAC